CGUACUGAGUUAAAGCAUAUCAAUAAGCGAAGGAAAAGAAACUUACCAGGAUUCCCCUAGUAACGACGAGCGAACCAGAACUGCCCAGCAUGGGAAUCAGGCGGCCCCGCUGCUCGAAUUGUAGUCUGUAGAAGCGUCCUCAGCGACGGAUUGGGCACAAGUCCCCUGGAAGCAGGCGCCAGAGAGGGUGAGAGCCCCGUCGUGCCCGGACCCUACCGCACCACGAGGCACUGUAGGCAAGUAGGGUUGUUUGGGAAUGCAUCCCUAAUUGGGCUGUAAAUUCCGUCCAAGGCUAAAUACUGGCGAGAGACAGAUAACGAACAAGUACCGCUUGGGAAAGAUGAAAAGGACUUUGAAAAGAGAGUCAAAGAGUGCUUGAAAUUUUUGGGAGGGAAGCGGUUGGGGGUUGGCAAGCACAG
rfam:Amborella trichopoda AMTR_V1.0_contig_12425, whole genome shotgun sequence.